GUUCGAGUGUCUCAUCAACGUUCGACGUGGAAGUCGGAGGAUCGUUCGUCGUUCGCCCCGGGCGAGAAUCUGUAGUCGAUAACGGCACGCACACGUAUUAGGACGCGCCGGUGUUGCGUCUCGCGUCGUGGCGGUGCAAAUGCGCGCGCCAGGCGAGUACGAGCCAGUCCGCGAACAUCGGGCCAGUCAGUCAGUGGCAGGAAAAAAUGGCGGAUGUCGACUUGAAUAUCGACAACUUGAUACAGAGAUUGUUGGAAGUAUACCACACGCAGAAAGACCAGGUUCAGAAGAAAGCCAAGCUAAAAGAUAUUUUCUCGUCGGACUUUGUCGUCAGAGGAUGUCGACCGGGCAAAACCGUUAUCAUGACGGAGGCCGAGGUACGUGGCCUCUGUCUGAAGUCGCGGGAAAUUUUCCUGCAACAGCCGAUCCUAUUGGAAUUGGAGGCGCCGCUUAAAAUCUGCGGCGACAUACACGGCCAAUAUACCGAUCUGCUGCGGCUCUUUGAGUACGGCGGCUUUCCGCCCGAGGCGAACUAUCUGUUCCUGGGCGAUUACGUUGACCGAGGGAAGCAAUCCUUGGAGACGAUAUGCUUGUUGUUGGCAUACAAAAUCAAAUAUCCAGAGAAUUUCUUCCUGCUGCGCGGCAAUCAUGAAUGCGCCAGCAUAAACAGGAUAUAUGGCUUUUAUGACGAGUGCAAGCGGCGAUAUAACAUCAAGCUUUGGAAGACCUUCACAGACUGCUUUAACUGCUUGCCGAUCGCCGCGAUUAUCGAUGAAAAAAUCUUCUGUUGCCAUGGCGGGCUCAGUCCUGAUCUGCAGGGAAUGGAGCAAAUCAGAAGAAUCAUGCGUCCAACUGAUGUACCUGAUACCGGUCUCCUCUGUGAUCUUUUAUGGUCCGAUCCUGAUAAAGAUGUUCAGGGUUGGGGCGAAAACGAUAGAGGAGUCUCAUUCACAUUCGGUCCAGAUGUCGUGUCGAAAUUCCUGAAUCGUCACGACAUGGAUCUCAUAUGCAGGGCACAUCAAGUGGUCGAGGAUGGCUAUGAAUUUUUCGCCAAGCGACAACUCGUCACACUUUUCUCUGCGCCAAAUUACUGUGGCGAAUUUGAUAAUGCCGGCGGAAUGAUGAGCGUUGACGAAACGUUGAUGUGCAGUUUUCAGAUCUUGAAACCAUCAGAGAAGAAGGCAAAAUACCAAUAUGGAGGAAUGAACACGGGUCAAGCAGGUAGACCAUCUACACCACAAAGGAAUCCAGCGAAAAAGAAAUGACAGCCUUCAACCGAACCUGCACAACAAACGCGAUUAUCCUUAAUGGAGGCUAUCAUGCUAGCACGAAGACGCCGAGAUACAGAAUUAACCUAAUCUGAUAAACAUAAACCUAAAAAAAAGUGUAAGAUUUACUUCUCUUUCAAUUGCAUUUUAACGUGAUAAGAAAUAUAAAUAAUUCGCGGUGAAUCAAGUUUCGAUUAUCAUCGUACUUGACGAAGGGAUUGCUCUCAGAAUUUUACAGCAAUUAUGGCAAUUAUCUACCAUGAACGAAGUGAUCCCUUGUGAAAAGCUAGUGCUCUUUGAAAAGCAUUUCAUCAUUCUCAUUUGUAUUUAUUGCUUCCACUGUUGAUGUUGAGUGUAAUUAUGAGACUCGCUGUUAUUAUAUAUUAUUAAUAUUAUUUUUAUUUUUAAUAGUAUUUUUAUCAUUGCUUUAGCAGCUAAUUUAAAUAUCAUCGUUUCGUGAGAGAUGCGCGUGUAUAUAGAUAGAUAGAUAUAUAUAUAUAUAUAUACAUAUAUAUAUAUUUUUGACCAUUUAUUUUUUCUCUUAAACCAUUACCUAUUACAAAUUUAAUUAUAUCGUCAUGUGCAGUAUUCCGAGCGUGAUAGUGACUGCACGUUCCAGAGAUAUGUCGUAGACGAAUUAGGUUGUUUAUUCUCGGGCGAUAAAUCCGGAGAGAAACACAGAGAGCUAGUAUUUUUAAGAUAAAUAUACUUACGCCUUUAUUCGAAAGAUACUAGAAGGAAGGAAAUCGUGAAGAAGAGAAAAAUGAGGACAUGUCGCAUGUAUGCAGAAUUUCAGCUUUUUAUUCUCGCGAUGAGAGCAAACAUGAAUGCAAAUACGCAUUGUUAUCAAUUUAUGGAAGAUUUAUCGCAUAUUGUAAAGAUUAUUUCAAAUUGCGCAAACAUUUCGUUAGUGAUAUUACAGGUGGAUCUUAUGUAUUUAGAUUUUGAUGAGUUGAAAUUUUGCACUUGUUAUAUAUGUUUAUGCUAUUUAGACAUAAGAGAUAUUCAUGUGAUAGAAUAAAGCUUAUUAAUUUUUGAACAGGAAAACCUUCGACGGCACACCGCAUUUAAACGUUUGGUGCAUUUAUUUAAACAUUUAUAGAAUAUGUUUAUCCAGUUUUUUGUUUUCUUUUUUUUAUUGAUCUCAAAUUUCAUGUAAUUUCUAUUCAUUACUGUUGAAAUCGCUGCAGUAAUACGAUUAUUUUAUGGACUUUUAAAAUAAUGCAUUACUUAACGUUUCCUUGCUGCGCUUUUGUUCUAUAAGUGAUAUGUAUUAUUAUUUGCGAUCAUCUGCGCAAUAAAAGUCACUUCUAUCGGAAAGAAAGUGCGUUUCGACUUUUUAAUUUCUAAGAAUAUUAUUCUGAUUUCAAAGAAUAUUAUUAUUAAAAUAUUGCAUUAUGAAAUCUGUAGAGAAGUCUUAUAAAUCACAUUAUAUACGAAGAAUAAAAUUUGCAUUUCCGGAAGCAACAAUCGAUUAAAUAAUGACAUUUGAGAGAUUAUAAUCAUAGCGAAGAUUUUUGUUCUCCAAUAAAUGCGCAAAUGUGUUUUCUAGAGAUUUAAUAUUUACUAUUGGCAAAAUAUUUAUGAAUACUGCACCAAUAAACAUGAUGUAUACAAAUCGAAAUUUACGAGGUAAAACGCGUUUGUCACCGAUUAAAUAUAGACUGACGAUUAAUGAGAUUGUAUCGUGCGAGUUAUUAUGAUUGCGAAGACGAUCUGGAAACACGAAGACCGUACAUCAAAACUGAAAACUCACACCCACAAGCAGAGAUCAAUCAAACGUAACGGGCCUUUUCGUGGCAACGACGCCACAAUUGGUUCUCACAUUAUUAUGUUAUAUUAUAUUUUACUCAAUGGUUGUUCAUUAUUUGAUUGCUAUUUAACGUUGGAUAGCGCUUGAUAAAGUAUUUAUUAUUCGAGGUACGAGAGAGAUGCAGUGCAAAUUUUUGUUUUAGAAUUGGAGCCGACGAAACGAAAGAUGUCCUUUCCACUCUUCCUUCCCUGCGUUUCUCCCCUAGUCCCCCCCAAAAAAACGCAAGAUUAAUUAAGUCAAAGGAGUGGUUGUGAUUCCUUGAUAUGCGUUCUUUUCGUCCGAGAUUCAUAUAUUAUAUACAGAUAUUAUAUUUGUAAAGGGUUGACCGGUCGCGAUUCGACGAUAUUUUACUAAAUAAAUAAUAAAAUGAAAGGGAGGAGCUUGUGACUAUCGUGGAUUGUUACAUCGUUCGAAUCGCCGAUAACGGAACACGCUAUGCAAUGGCAUCCUAGAGAUGUAAAACUUUCAGAUAAUAAAUAUGCAUAUUGUUGUACAAA
rnacentral:misc_RNA from 1 species